UGCUGCGUAGGGAGGACGUUGUGUGAAUCAGGAGCGGGCUGCUAGACAUGCCCGUGCCGCAAGGCCGAGUCCCUGGUUGAUGAAGUUCUGUGAAGCACAACCAAGAAAAGCCCCUACAACAAUGCAACCGUACUAAAACCAACACAGGUAGGCGAGGCGAGUAGCCUAAGGCGCUCGGGAGAACGGUGGUUAAGGAACUCUGCAAAAUGACUCCGUAACUUCGGGAUAAGGAGUGCCAUCUUCGGAUGGCGGCACGAAUCGGCUCUAGCGACUGUUUAUCAAAAACACAGGUCUGUGCGAACACGUAAGUGGAUGUAUACAGACUGACGCCUGCUCGGUGCCGGUAAGUUAAGGAAGAGGGUGAGUCGCAAGGCGUAGCCCGCAACCAAAGCUCCGGUAAACGGCGGCCCUAACUAUGAGGGUCCUAAGGUAGCGAAGUUCCUUGUCGGGUAAGUUCCGACCUGCAUGAAUGGCGUAACGACUGGAGCACUGUCUCUACCACCGACCCGGUGAAGUUGAAUCCGUGGUGAAGAUGCCACGUUCCCGCAGCGUGACGGAAAGACCCCAUGAACCUUUACUGUAUGCUGGUAUUGGUAUUAGGCAUGUCUUGUGUAGGAUAGGUGGGAGGCUGCGAAGUUGGAGCGCAAGCUCUGAUGGAGCCAACGUUGAAAUACCACCCUGGACCUGUUUGAUAUCUAACCCCGACCCGUAAUCCGGGCGGUGGACAGUGCCAGUUGGGCAGUUUGACUGGGGCGGUCUCCUCCAAAAAGGUAACGGAGGAGCUCAAAGGUACCCUCAGCCUGGUUGGCAAUCAGGCGAAGAGCGUAAGGGUAGAAGGGUGCUUGACUGCAAGACCGACGAGUCGCGCAGAAACGAAAGUUGGACCUAGUGAUCCGGCGAUUCCGAAUGGAAGGGUCGUCGCUCAACGGAUAAAAGGUACUCUGGGGAUAACAGGCUGAUCCCACCCGAGCGUCCAUAGCGGCGGUGGGGUUUGGCACCUCGAUGUCGGCUCAUCACAUCCUGGGGGUGGAGAAGCUCCCAAGGGUUCGGCUGUUCGCCGAUUAAAGUGGUACGUGAGCUGGGUUCAGACCGUCGUGAGACAGGUCGGUCCCUAUCUGCUGUGGGCGUUCGAGGCUUGAGGGAGUUUCUCUUUAGUACGAGAGGAUUUAGAGGGACGGUCCUAUGGUGUUCCUGUUGUCACGCUAGUGGCACCGCAGGUUAGCUACGACCGGUUAGGAUGAGUGCUGAAAGCAUCUAAGCACGAAGCCAGUCCCAAGAUAAGGCCUCGUUGAAGUCCCCUGGAAGACUACCAGGUUGAUAGGCCGGGUGUGUAAGGCUCGUAAGGGUCUCAGCUGACCGGUACUAACGGACGAUAGCUUGAUCUC
rnacentral:rRNA from 1 species